rnacentral:rRNA from 1 species
UUUUCUGCCACCGAAUACAUUAGCAUGGGAUAAUGGAAUAGGACCCUGUCCUCCUAUUUUCAGUUGGUUUUGGCAGCGCGAGGACUAGGGUAAUGAUUAAUAGGGAUAGUUGGGGGCAUUAAUAUUUAAUUGUCAGAGGUGAAAUUCUUGGAUUUAUGAAAGAUUAACUUCUGCGAAAGCAUCUGCCAAGGAUGUUUUCAUUAAUCAAGAACGAAAGUUAGGGGAUCGAAGACGAUCAGAUACCGUCGUAGUCUUAACCAUAAACGAUGCCGACCAGCGAUUAGGAGACGUUGAAUACAAAACACCACCAUCGGUGCGGUCGUCCUUGGCGUCGGUCUUUCGGGGCCGGCGCGGGGACGGCUUAGCCCGGUGGCACCGGUGAAUGACUCCCUA